rnacentral:snoRNA from 1 species
AUCCUCCAUAUUCCUGACCCCUCAGAUCGAAGUAUUGAUAUGAGUGGCAGAAAUGGAAGAAAAGCAGAACAGAAGUGGACUUGGAGUAUUCAGUGACCUACAAGUUCAUUUCAAACAUGA